rnacentral:tRNA from 1 species
AGAAGCAGGAUACAUCAAACCAGAAGCCUUCAAAGCUUCUAAAAGGAGUAUAAGCCUCCUAGCUUCUG